AAAUACAUGAUGGAACCUAGUAUUAUAUGUAAGACAACUUGACAGAAAUGUUGGUAUUAUAUGUUUAUGGGUGUGACAGCCAUUUACCACCAAACACAGAUUUAUUUAUUUUUCAUUUUUCUUCUUUUGGCAGGGUAAUUAAUUUAACUUGAGGCACUUUUUCAUGCUUAUGGUUGAAAUCAAUAAAUCGUAUACUAUUGGAUUUAUUUCAAGCAAACAACAAAAACAUGAUGGAUCUGGUUCAUCUCAAGGACGAUGCCAACGGGCCCCAUACAACUAAUCUACAAUAUAAAUGAACAGAGAUGUUCUACACCUGUAUAUAACAACACUAGCAGCAUAAGUGAAUGCCUAUAUAGCUUUGUAGUUCAUAAGCUCUCAUGUGUUGUGCUUGACACCUUCACAUCUUUGUUAUCCUCUUGGCUAACUUCUGUAACAUCCCCCUCGGGUGUUUCUGUAGCAGAAUCAGGUUCCUUUUUCAGCUCCGAUUCAAACUCCUUUGCAGCCUGCAACAAUUACAUCAAUAUUAAUCUAUGUACAUGUUACAUCAGUCUUAUUAUUUCAUUAUAGAACCAUGUAGUUGAA
rnacentral:lncRNA from 1 species